rnacentral:rRNA from 1 species
UACGUAGGUGGCGAGCGUUGUCCGGAUUUACUGGGCGUAAAGGGCGUGCAGGCGGUUUGUUAAGUGCAGGGUGAAAGCUCCCGGCUCAACUGGGAGAGGUCCUUGCAUACUGGCGAACUCGAGGGAGGCAGAGGAAAGUGGAAUUCCCGGUGUAGUGGUGAUAUGCGUAGAUAUCGGGAGGAACACCUGUGGCGAAAGCGGCUCACUGGACCACAACUGACGCUGAGGCGCGAAAGCUAGGGGAGCAAACAGG